rnacentral:rRNA from 1 species
ACUGCUCAGUAACACGUGGACAACCUGCCCUUAGGACGGGGAUAAACCCGGGAAACUGGGUAUAAUACCCGAUAGGUCUCGAUUGCUGGAAUGCAUCGAGAUUUAAAGCUCCGGCGCCUAAGGAUGGGUCUGCGGCCUAUCAGGUAGUAGUGGGUGUAGCGUACCUACUAGCCUACGACGGGUACGGGUUGUGAGAGCAAGAGCCCGGAGAUGGAUUCUGAGACACGAAUCCAGGCCCUACGGGGUGCAGCAGGCGCGAGARCUUUACAAUGCUGGCAACAGCGAUAAGGGAACCUCGAGUGCCAGGUUACAAAUCUGGCUGUCGAGAUGCCUAAGAAGCAUUUCAUAGCAAGGGCCGGGCAAGACCGGUGCCAGCCGCCGCGGUAACACCGGCGGCUCGAGUGGUAACCGUUAUUAUUGGGUCUAAAGGGUCUGUAGCCGGCCGGAUAAGUCUCUUGAGARAUCUGGCAGCUUAACUGUCAGGCUUUCAGGAGAUACUGUCUGGCUCGAGGCCGGGAGAGGUGAGAGGUACUUCAGGGGUAGGGGUGAGAUCUUGUGAUCCUUGAAGGGCCACCAGUGGCGAAGGCGUCUCACCAGAACGGRCCUGACGGCAAGGGACGARAGCUAGGGGCACGAACCGGAUUAGAUACCCGGGUAGUCCUAGCCGUAAACGAUACUCGCUAGGUGUCGGCCACGGUGCGACCGUUGUCGGUGCCGUAGGGAAGCCGUGAAGCGAGCCACCUGGGAAGUACGGCCGCAAGGUGAARACUUAAAGGAAUUGGCGGGGGAGCACCACAACGGGUGGAGCUUGCGGUUUAAUUGGACUG